rnacentral:lncRNA from 10 species
CUUAGGCAACUGUCUGAUUAACCUAAUCCAUCUACACUGAGUCAGGAGAAUUCAGACUUUUUUGUUGCCUACCAGAAGCUUUUAGUCACGCUAGAUUAUUUCAACUAUCCUAUUUUCUACUUAUUUAUUCUUAGGACAGCCAUUUUCUAAUUUUCUGUGUUGAUGUGAUGGAUCUGUCCAAGGCUCUACUGCAAGGCCAAACCUUGUGACCAAACCAUAGCAUCUUGACAGAUUCAAUUAGGAUUUUGUGAGAAAAAAGUGAUAUAAUGCCUCUGAGGACCAGCCCACACAGUGACUGGAGUAGGUGGUCAAACAA